rnacentral:misc_RNA from 1 species
GAUGAAGAACGUAGCGAAAUGCGAUAAGUAAUGUGAAUUGCAGAAUUCAGUGAAUCAUCGAGUCUUUGAACGCACAUUGCGCCCCCUGGUAUUCCGGGGGGCAUGCCUGUCCGAGCGUCAUUGCUGCCCUCAAGCACGGCUUGUGUGUUGGGCCCCCGUCCCCGGUUUCCCCCGGGGACGGGCCCGAAAGGCAGCGGCGGCACCGCGUCCGGUCCUCGAGCGUAUGGGGCUUUGUCACCCGCUCUGUAGGCCCGGCCGGCGCCAGCCGACACCCAACUUUAUUUCUAAGGUAGACCUCGGAUCAGGUAGGGAUACCCGCUGAACUUAAGCAUAUCAAUAAGCGGAGGA